AUGUUUCCCGAGGGAGGCCGCCUUCUCUCAGGCCAGCAGUCUUCUACUUCUAGUCGACUGCUCUAUGACGGGCUUCCCUGUAUCCUGGGCUCUGCUCGCUCGUCUACGCUCCGACCCAGCAAGCAAUCAAUCAGAAUCAAGAAAAAAAAUGGAAAUAGUGAAUCAAGCAAGAUCUAGAUGGAUCCCUAUCUUUAUCUCUAUCCACGGAGAUACCUAUCUAUAUGGAUAG